rnacentral:rRNA from 1 species
AAUAGAUACCCCGGUAGUCCACGCUGUAAACGAUGAGAACUAAAUGUUAGUAGGGGAACCUAUUAGUAUUGAAGCAAACGCGAUAAGUUCUCCGCCUGGGAAGUACGGCCGCAAGGUUGAAACUCAAAUGAAUUGACGGGGGCCCGCACAAGCGGUGGAGCAUGUGGUUUAAUUCGAUGCAACGCGAAGAACCUUACCUACCCUUGACAUCCUGCGAAUCUCGAUGAGAGUUGAGAGUGCCGAAAGGAGCGCAGAGACAGGUGCUGCAUGGCUGUCGUCAGCUCGCGUUGUGAGAUGUUGGGUUAAGUCCCGUAACGAGCGCAACCCUUGUCCUUAGUUGCCAUCAUUAAGUUGGGGACUCUAAGGAGACUGCCGGUGAUGAACCGGAGGAAGGCGGGGACGACGUCAAGUCAUCAUGGCCUUUAUGGGUAGGGCUACACACGUGCUACAAUGGGGCGUACAGAGGGUCGCGAACCUGCGAAGGUGAGCCAAUCUCUUAAAGCGUCUCGUAGUCCGGAUCGGAGUCUGC